GAUGAACGCUGGCGGCGUGCCUAAUACAUGCAAGUCGAGCGAACAGAUGAGGAGCUUGCUCCUCUGACGUUAGCGGCGGACGGGUGAGUAACACGUGGAUAACCUACCUAUAAGACUGGGAUAACUUCGGGAAACCGGAGCUAAUACCGGAUAAUAUAUUGAACCGCAUGGUUCAAUAGUGAAAGACGGUUUUGCUGUCACUUAUAGAUGGAUCCGCGCCGCAUUAGCUAGUUGGUAAGGUAACGGCUUACCAAGGCAACGAUGCGUAGCCGACCUGAGAGGGUGAUCGGCCACACUGGAACUGAGACACGGUCCAGACUCCUACUGGAGGCAGCAGUAGGGAAUCUUCCGCAAUGGGCGAAAGCCUGACGGAGCAACGCCGCGUGAGUGAUGAAGGUCUUCGGAUCGUAAAACUCUGUUAUUAGGGAAGACCAAAUGUGUAAGUAACUAUGCACGUCUUGAAGGUACCUAAUCAGAAAGCCACGGCUAACUCCGUG
rnacentral:rRNA from 1 species